UACCGAGGUCCCAAGCGUUGUUCGGAUUCACUGGGCGUAAAGGGUGCGUAGGUGGUUAGGUAAGUCCGAUGUGAAAUCUCCAGGCUCAACCUGGAAAUGGCAUUGGAUACUAUCUAGCUUGAGGAGUGGAGGGGGGACUGGAAUUCUCGGUGUAGCAGUGAAAUGCGUAGAUAUCGAGAGGAACACCAGUGGCGAAGGCGAGUCCCUGGACACUUCCUGACACUGAGGCACGAAAGCUAGGGGAGCAAACAGG
rnacentral:rRNA from 1 species